AUACGUAGGUGACAAGCGUUAUCCGGAUUUACUGGGUGUAAAGGGAGCGUAGACGGUGUGACAAGUCUGAUGUGAAAACCCGGGGCUCAACUCCGGGAUUGCAUUGGAAACUGCCAUACUUGAGUGCAGGAGAGGUAAGCGGAAUUCCUAGUGUAGCGGUGAAAUGCGUAGAUAUUAGGAGGAACACCGGCGGCGAAGGCGGCUUACUGGACUGUAACUGACGUUGAGGCUCGAAAGCGUGGGGAGCAAACAGGAUUAGAUACCCUGGUAGUCCACGCGGUAAACGAUGAAUACUAGGUGUUGGGGGUCUAUAGACCCUCGGUGCCGCAGCAAACGCAAUAAGUAUUCCACCUGGGGAGUACGUUCGCAAGAAUGAAACUCAAAUGAAUUGACGGGG
rnacentral:rRNA from 1 species